rnacentral:lncRNA from 1 species
UGAUCGGGCGCCAGGGCAGCAAGAUCAGCGAGAUCCGGCAGAUGUCAGGGGCACACAUUAAGAUCGGGAACCAAGCGGAGGGUGCUGGGGAGCGGCAUGUGACCAUCACUGGCUCACCGGUCUCCAUUGCCCUGGCUCAGUACCUCAUCACUGCCUGGGCCACCGCCGGGCUUGGCGGCCUACACUGCCAAGAUGGCAGCGGCCAAUGGGAGCAAGAAAGCUGAACGGCAGAAAUUCUCCCCCUACUGAGGCCGGCUGAGGCACAGGCGGGGGCAGGCAGGACCGCCGGCAGGGGCUGCCUCUACAUCCUUCCUGCCCAAGGAGACUCCACCACGGGGUCUCAAGCGCCAGUAAUGCCAGACGCAUGGAUGCACCCCCUACCCUGCCCCAUCUUUGGAGAUCCUCCUCAGAGAGGGGACAGUUCCUGGCCCAGGGUUCUAGGAGUUUGGCAGCCCCAGAGCAGGGGCUCCACCCCUUCAGACCUAUGCUUGGAUGCAGGGAGUAGCUGGGGCCUCCCCAGUGCCCUGCCGUGGGAGGGGCUACUCGUGUCCUCUCCAUCCCUUUGGGCUUCUUCCUGCUGCCCCAGUGGGAAUUGGAGGAGAGUGAGGGGUGGCUGGGGCCAAGCUUCUCUUCAUCCCCUGCAGAUCCUGCUGCUUCCACUGAUACCCUUUUGACUGGAAUAGACUGGCUGGGCUUGUCCGGGGGGCAACCCAAAGAGAGGGCUCUGCCUAUAGCAGGGGGUGUGGCCUGGGGGGCAGGGGCCCAGUUCUCAGCAGCAGACACUCUGUACAGUUUUUUUCAAUCCCCGUUUUUGAAUAAAUAUUCUCAGCGACCAGAAAG